rnacentral:rRNA from 1 species
ACUCAAAGGAAUAGACGGGGGCCCGCACAAGCGGUGGAGCAUGUGGUUUAAUUCGAUGCAACGCGAAGAACCUUACCUACUCUUGACAUCCCGCGGACCCUGGUGAGAGCUAGGGGUGCCGAAAGGAACGCGGAGACAGGUGCUGCAUGGCUGUCGUCAGCUCGUGUUGUGAGAUGUUGGGUUAAGUCCCGUAACGAGCGCAACCCUUGUCCUUAGUUGCCAGCAUUUAGUUGGGGACUCUAAGGAGACUGCCGGUGAUGAACCGGAGGAAGGCGGGGACGACGUCAAGUCAUCAUGGCCUUUAUGAGUAGGGCUACACACGUGCUACAAUGGGGCGUACAGAGGGCAGCCAACCCGCGAGGGGGAGCCAAUCUCUUAAAGCGUCUCGUAGUCCGGAUUGGAGUCUGCAACUCGACUCCAUGAAGUUGGAAUCGCUAGUAAUCGCGAAUCAGCAACGUCGCGGUGAAUACGUUCCCGGGCCUUGUACACACCGCCCGU